CACGUAGGGUGCAAGCGUUGUCCGGAAUCAUUGGGCGUAAAGAGCUCGUAGGCGGCUUAGUAAGUCGGGUGUGAAAACCCCAGGCUCAACCUGGGGACGCCACCCGAUACUGCUAUAGCUAGAGUCCAGUAGGGGAGUGUGGAAUUCCCAGUGUAGCGGUGAAAUGCGUAGAUAUCUGGAGGAACACCGGUGGCGAAGGCGGCAUCCUGGACCGGUAUUGACGCUGAGGCGCGAAAGCCAGGGGAGCAAAGCGGG
rnacentral:rRNA from 1 species